rnacentral:rRNA from 1 species
UACGUAGGGUGCGAGCGUUGUCCGGAAUUAUUGGGCGUAAAGAGCUUGUAGGCGGUUUGUCGCGUCUGCCGUGAAAAUUCGAGGCUCAACCUCGAACUUGCGGUGGGUACGGGCAGACUAGAGUGUGGUAGGGGAGACUGGAAUUCCUGGUGUAGCGGUGAAAUGCGCAGAUAUCAGGAGGAACACCGAUGGCGAAGGCAGGUCUCUGGGCCACUACUGACGCUGAGGAGCGAAAGUGUGGGGAGCAAACAGG